CCUUCAGAUAGAGGCGCGGUGUUCAUCAGUAUCGUCUGGGAGGGGCCGUAACCCCGGUGACCAUACGAAAAAGGGACCAUCGCCGAAGGUCAGCCUGCGUUACGGCACGGUCGUCCUGGAUGCCGCGGAGAAUAUCCCGUCGUCUGUCACUGCAUAGAACGAUUCGCGCUGUGCCGGUGGAGUGCUGUCUUGGUU
rfam:Butyricicoccus pullicaecorum 1.2 genomic scaffold acBRa-supercont1.1, whole genome shotgun sequence.